GUCUCAGACAUGCAAAUAUUGAACAGAUACCGUCCAACACUACUAAGCACAAUGAUAAAACACAUUCUGCUCCAUGAAUCUGUCAGAUAUUCGACAAUUAAUUAAGCAUGGAACAAUCACAUUUGUUAAACAACAAUAAUCCGGAUCGAGUUUUUUUGGAUACACAGGAGAGAACAGGAACACUUCACUUCAGGUGUCUGGAUGUUUUAAAUACCCUGAUGUCAGGUGUCCCAGAAAUCUGAUCAAGACAGAAUUCAAAAGGAAAGUUCUCCACAUUUAUGCCCCUCAUCUUCUCCAAGCCUAGGAGACGUGGAACAAAACCAAACAAAACUCAUUAUCACCUAAUUAAUUGCAGACUCCUCUUACCCUGCCCCUUUGGAAAACAGAUCUACCAAAACGUGAAGUGAAAAAUUCUAAAGUUCUUUGAAAGACCUCUCGGGCUCUGCUUCUUCAAGAAUUUGUUUUCUAGCUCCUUUUGUAAGUAACAGCAGACUUCAGACUGACUGUGAAAACCAGGGAUGAAACUGGGCUUCAGUUAAAUUCCAAGCUGCCAGGGACAGUCUCCCCAGGAAGCGGAUGUGGCUGGAGACCCGGGAAUCUCACGUCCACGGUCCAGUUCCUACCAGAGAUGGCCCUCCACAGAGCCUUCCCAUCUCCGAAGGACAUUCCGCGGAGCUGGGGCCUAGCCUCCUCAAUGAAAGCUGAUGUACCACGUCGCAGGAAGAGGUCAGACAACCAACGCAUCGCAGGCUAAGCCAAGCUCUUGCAGACGACAGAGAUUACAAGAACCAAGCUGGAAACAUCUUAUAGCACAGAUGAAGGUUGGGGAUCACAGCUUUGUAAAGGUUUUAUGUGCCUGACCUUUUACUUCUUUCUACAUUCUUUGUCUAAGACACAACCUCAGGAAAAGAAACGGGCUACAGGUGGGAAUUAACGUCUCAUAGGUUCUACAAUCACCCGCUUCUACUGGAAUCCAUAAAAUGGCACAAAUGUACUGGCAACAGCGAAUGAAAUGUGUCAAACAAACGACGGUCCUCGCCUUAAGGAAGUCCAUUUCCUGAUUACGUUUCAAUGACCGGGAAUUUAGGGUCCGACUCCAUCAGAACCAGAAGGGAAGUCACGGCAUACCCGGGCCAUCUGUUACUGGAUAGAGAACACUGGGGCCCAGAAUGUUCAAAAGGCUCUGAUGGGCACAGCCCAGAAUCUGGUUCGACCCAGUCUCGCCCACCCAGUCCAACUCUGUAACUCCUCUGACUCAUUUGAAACCACAAGUAGCUUGAACGAGGACUUCAAUUUUAUGACUUUGGUCAUCAUUAAACUUUUGUUGUCUUUAACAA